UACGUAGGGUGCAAGCGUUGUCCGGAAUCAUUGGGCGUAAAGAGCUCGUAGCGGUCUGUUGCGUCCGCUGUGAAAACUCGGGGCUUAACCCCGAGCCUGCAGUGGAUACGGGCAGACUAGAGGUAGGUAGGGGAGAAUGGAAUUCCCGGUGUAGCGGUGAAAUGCGCAGAUAUCGGGAGGAACACCGGUGGCGAAGGCGGUUCUCUGGGCCUUACCUGACGCUGAGGAGCGAAAGCGUGGGGAGCGAACAGG
rnacentral:rRNA from 1 species